UGGCUCAUUUGGUAAAGUGCUUGCCUUCCAAGCAAGAGGACCUGAGUUUGAUUCCCAG
rnacentral:tRNA from 1 species